rnacentral:lncRNA from 1 species
UGGCUAGUCCAGUCCCCGAGAGACUCUCUCGAGAUUUCCACUAACUUGUUAAGCUUACGGGUGCUUAACAAACCGUUACAACUUGAGGACACAAGCCUCAACGACCUUUUCUCGGAGAUACAACACUCCAAGACUUCAACCAAGGAAACACAAGUUCCUUCUUACAACACAAGGGACUAACACUUCCCUUCAAGUGUAC